rnacentral:lncRNA from 12 species
CAGAAACAGCAUGAAGCUUUUAUUUUUCCCUUGGAAACCGAAGGCAGUAAGUUCCACUCUAGCUAGUUUUGCAGUCUUUAUCCAUACUGGAGGAUCUCCUCAUACUAGACAACAUACAGACC